ACACACUGUCACAAGGGGGUAGGGAGGGGUAAAAAACUGGCAAAAAUAGCGUCACGUAUUUCGUAAAUGACCUCCAAAUUUUAUUUGUGCAUGUGUACGAGCAAAAAUUGACCCUAGUUUUUAAUUGCCAAGGAGCCUUGUUCCAAAACUAGUCAUAUGCCAGCUUUUGGACAUGAAAAAUAUGUUCGUGUAUACGGCCGCCAAGUAGAACUUGACAAGUGUACAAGAAUUACGUCUAUGCUUUUGGCAAAUAAAAGGCAGCCUUGACGUCAGAUAAAGAUUUAUAACAACAUUUCGUGCACAUGAACAACAAAACUUUUCAAGGGAAACUUGUCAAGGAAAACUUGUUGACUGUACACACGAAAAGGUACAUUUGUCAAGGAAACUUGUCAAGUAUUUAAUUAUGCGCACACUCAUCUGCAUGUUUGUCUCGGCCACCUGCAAAAGUGUGUGUAUCCUUGAAUUGUAUUAUUUGUCACCACGCAACGUGUUUAACAAUAAUACUAACAAUUAAGUCAUUCAAUAUGUGAUGACUUUAUGCUAUAACUUUGUAGAAAUGGUGAAAGUUUAAUUCGAUAAAUUUGAUUGCUUUGGCUACAACUGUAUAUAAUAUAUUUUGGUAUGUGUUGAAGUAGUUUUCUACUUGAUAUUAUAUGAAUUAUUGUAUUUUAAUCCGUUCUCUUUGUCUGUAACUCACGAAAAGGCCAAUUGAAAGCGACUUCAGACUUGAUGUACGACUUGAUGUACGUACCUCCGAAUAUAAGCCCUGGACUUAUAUUCGUUCAUAAGCAUUUUUCGAUGGGCUUAUAUGAACAUGGGCCUAUAUCACUGGAAUUGUUUUUCAAAAUUCUUGUAUGGAAAUAGCAUGGAUCUUAGUUGAAAAUAAUAUCGC